rnacentral:rRNA from 1 species
UACGGGAGGCAGCAGUGGGGAAUAUUGCACAAUGGGCGCAAGCCUGAUGCAGCCAUGCCGCGUGUAUGAAGAAGGCCUUCGGGUUGUAAAGUACUUUCAGUCGUGAGGAAGGUGUUAAGGUUAAUAACCUUAGCAAUUGACGUUAGCGACAGAAGAAGCACCGGCUAACUCCGUGCCAGCAGCCGCGGUAAUACGGGGGUGCGAGCGUUAAUCGGAAUUACUGGGCGUAAAGGGCACGCAGGCGGUUAAUUAAGUUGGAUGUGAAAUCCCCGGGCUUAACCUGGGAAUGGCAUUCAAGACUGGUUAGCUAGAGUCUUGUAGAGGGGGUAGAAUUCCAUGUGUAGCGGUGAAAUGCGUAGAGAUGUGGAGGAAUACCGGUGGCGAAAGGCGGCCCCUGGACAAAGACUGACGCUCAUGUGCGAAAGCGUGGGGAGCAAACAGGGAUUAGAUACC